rnacentral:rRNA from 1 species
GACGAACGCUGGCGGCGUGCUUAACACAUGCAAGUCGAACGGAAAGGCCCUGCUUUUGUGGGGUGCUCGAGUGGCGAACGGGUGAGUAACACGUGAGUAACCUGCCCUUGACUUUGGGAUAACUUCAGGAAACUGGGGCUAAUACCGGAUAGGAGCUCCUGCUGCAUGGUGGGGGUUGGAAAGUUUCGGCGGUUGGGGAUGGACUCGCGGCUUAUCAGCUUGUUGGUGGGGUAGUGGCUUACCAAGGCUUUGACGGGUAGCCGGCCUGAGAGGGUGACCGGCCACAUUGGGACUGAGAUACGGCCCAGACUCCUACGGGAGGCAGCAGUGGGGAAUAUUGCACAAUGGGCGGAAGCCUGAUGCAGCAACGCCGCGUGCGGGAUGACGGCCUUCGGGUUGUAAACCGCUUUCGCCUGUGACGAAGCGUGAGUGACGGUAAUGGGUAAAGAAGCACCGGCUAACUACGUGCCAGCAGCCGCGGUGAUACGUAGGGUGCGAGCGUUGUCCGGAUUUAUUGGGCGUAAAGGGCUCGUAGGUGGUUGAUCGCGUCGGAAGUGUAAUCUUGGGGCUUAACCCUGAGCGUGCUUUCGAUACGGGUUGACUUGAGGAAGGUAGGGGAGAGUGGAAUUCCUGGUGGAGCGGUGGAAUGCGCUGAUAUCAGGAGGAACACCAGUGGCGAAGGCGGUUCUCUGGGCCUUUCCUGACGCUGAGGAGCGAAAGCGUGGGGAGCGAACAGGCUUAGAUACCCUGGUAGUCCACGCUGUAAACGGUGGGUACUAGGUGUGGGGUCCAUUCCACGGGUUCCGUGCCGUAGCUAACGCUUUAAGUACCCCGCCUGGGGAGUACGGCCGCAAGGCUAAAACUCAAAGGAAUUGACGGGGCCCCGCACAAGCGGCGGAGCAUGCGGAUUAAUUCGAUGCAACGCGUAGAACCUUACCUGGGUUUGACAUGGAUCGGGAGUGCUCAGAGAUGGGUGUGCCUCCUUUGGGGUCGGUUCACAGGUGGUGCAUGGCUGUCGUCAGCUCGUGUCGUGAGAUGUUGGGUUAAGUCCCGCAACGAGCGCAACCCUUGUUCACUGUUGCCAGCACGUUAUGGUGGGGACUCAGUGGAGACCGCCGGGGUCAACUCGGAGGAAGGUGGGGAUGACGUCAAGUCAUCAUGCCCCUUAUGUCCAGGGCUUCACGCAUGCUACAAUGGCUGGUACAGAGAGUGGCGAGCCUGUGAGGGUGAGCGAAUCUCGGAAAGCCGGUCUCAGUUCGGAUUGGGGUCUGCAACUCGACCUCAUGAAGUCGGAGUCGCUAGUAAUCGCAGAUCAGCAACGCUGCGGUGAAUACGUUCCCGGG